rnacentral:rRNA from 1 species
GAUGAACGCUGGCGGCGUGCCUAAUACAUGCAAGUCGAGCGAACGGACGAGAAGCUUGCUUCUCUGAUGUUAGCGGCGGACGGGUGAGUAACACGUGGAUAACCUACCUAUAAGACUGGGAUAACUUCGGGAAACCGGAGCUCAUACCGGAUAAUAUUUUGAACCGCAUGGUUCAAAAGUGAAAGACGGUCUUGCUGUCACUUAUAGAUGGAUCCGCGCUGCAUUAGCUAGUUGGUAAGGUAACGGCUUACCAAGGCAACGAUGCAUAGCCGACCUGAGAGGGUGAUCGGCCAGACUGGAACUGAGACACGGUCCAGACGCCUACGGGAGGCAGCAGUAGGGAAUCUUCCGCAAUGGGCAAAAGCCUGACGGAGCAACGCCGCGUGAGUGAUGAAGGUCUUCGGAUCGUAAAACUCUGUAAUUAGGGAAGAACAUAUGUGUAAGUAACUGUGCACAUCUUGACGGUACCUAAUCAGAAAGCCACGGCUAACUACGUG